rnacentral:lncRNA from 1 species
AUAUAUAAAAAUGAAUUGAUGUUCGUUAGUCUCACUAAAACUCGAGAAUGGCUGGACCGAUUUGGCUUAUUUUGGUUUUAAAAUGUUUGUAGAGGUCCAGGGAAGGUUUAAACGAUACGAAGCUUGCGGGGUCAGCUAGUUGACUAAUAUAAAUAGUAAAUAAAAACAGUUGUCUGUAAAGUCGGUUUACUGACGAUAGUCGAACGUGACAACGUCAUAAGAAAUUGAUCGCGGAGGCCGAUCGUGCCUCUUUGUCGCUCGUUGCGUGCUCUCGCUUGCACUUCAAGCCUUGAACGGAACGCCUCAGAGCGAGGUAACGCCGCAUGAGUCAUGUUUUUUCGUGCGUGCAGCCGGCUCCAUCGAUUUAUAAGACGUUGUCACGUCAA